CGGUGAUUAAUUUUUGUUUCCAUAACACAUAAAUAUAAUAGAAAAGACGUCAACACAUUUGACAAAUUCCGAUGAGAAUUACAAAUAUAACAUUAAACAUUUAAACUAAAUACAUGAGUUUGGGAUAGACAAGUACCGUAACACGUCUUAUAGUAAUGCGAAUUCACACUCAGCAAAACAGUCACAAUCGGGAAUAAGUCACGUUUGGUAAUUAAAAGAUUAGACGACAUAAUGACAAACCACAAUCUACCAUGUGGUAAAAAUGUCCUUAGCUAGUUUGGUUAAACACACAUCGUAUGGAUCCACCAAUUCGUGAUGGUGUCCAUAAAAUUUACGGAGUGUCAAUUUUAAUCUGUCCUCCUCAUAACUUUGUUGGAGAAGUUUCUGCGUAAGUAGCACACUCCUGUAUAUGAAGUCCGUAUAGUGUGAACAAGCACGAGAAUAACGUAUCACUUGUGAUAUGUAAACACCAUACGAAGGGGCAGAUGGUAUGUUACUGCUGAGAAAUGGGAAAUUGAUAAUUGGGAAGUUGAAAUCGUCCCGUUUGUCAUAGAUUUUCG
rnacentral:lncRNA from 1 species